GCAUAUCAUUAGGCGAAGAAAAGAAACUAACAAGGAUUCCCCUAGUAACUGCGAGUGAAGCGGGAAAAGCUCAAAUUUAAAAUCUGGCGGUCUUCGAUCGUCCGAGUUGUAGUCUGGAGAAGCGUCUUCCGCGCUGGACCGUGUACAAGUCUCUUGGAACAGAGCGUCGUAGAGGGUGAGAAUCCCGUCUUUGACACGGACUACCAGUGCUUUGUGAUGCGCUCUCAAAGAGUCGAGUUGUUUGGGAAUGCAGCUCAAAAUGGGUGGUAAAUUCCAUCUAAAGCUAAAUAUUGGCGAGAGACCGAUAGCGAACAAGUACCGUGAGGGAAAGAUGAAAAGCACUUUGGAAAGAGAGUUAAACAGUACGUGAAAUUGCUGAAAGGGAAACGAUUGAAGUCAGUCGCGUCGUCUAGAACUCAACCUUGCCUCGGCUCGGUGCAUUUUCUAGUUGACGGGCCAGCAUCAGUUUUGACCGUUGGAAAAAGGUCCUUGGAAUGUGGCACCUUCGGGUGUGUUAUAGCCUCGGGUCGUAUACGACGGUUGGGACUGAGGACCGCAGCACGCCUUUAUGGCCGGGGUUCGCCCACGUACGUGCUUAGGAUGCUGGCGUAAUGGCUUUAAACGACCCGUCUUGAAACACGGACCAAGGAGUCUAACAUGCCUGCGAGUGUUUGGGUGGUAAACCCGAGCGCGUAACGAAAGUGAAAGUUGGGAUCCCUGUCGUGGGGAGCACCGACGCCCACACCAGACCUUCUGUGACGGAUGUGCGGUUGAGCAUGUAUGUUGGGACCCGAAAGAUGGUGAACUAUGCCUGAAUAGGGUGAAGCCAGAGGAAAACUCUGGUGGAGGCUCGUAGCGAUUCUGACGUGCAAAUCGAUCGUCAAAUUUGGGUAUAGGGGGCGAAAGACUAAUCGAACCAUCUAGUAGCUGUUCUGCGAG
rnacentral:rRNA from 1 species